rnacentral:rRNA from 1 species
CUGAUGCAGCGACGCCGCGUGGGGGAUGACGGCCUUCGGGUUGUAAACCCCUUUCAGUAGGGAAGAAGCGAGAGUGACGGUACCUGCAGAAGAAGCGCCGGCUAACUACGUGCCAGCAGCCGCGGUAAUACGUAGGGCGCAAGCGUUGUCCGGAAUUAUUGGGCGUAAAGAGCUUGUAGGUGGCUUGUCGCGUCUGCCGUGAAAACCCGAGGCUCAACCUCGGGCGUGCGGUGGGUACGGGCAGGCUAGAGUGUGGUAGGGGAGACUGGAACUCCUGGUGUAGCGGUGAAAUGCGCAGAUAUCAGGAAGAACACCGAUGGCGAAGGCAGGUCUCUGGGCCAUUACUGACACUGAGAAGCGAAAGCAUGGGUAGCGAACAGGAUUAGAUACCCUGGUAGUCCAUGCCGUAAACGUUGGGCACUAGGUGUGGGGGACAUUCCACGUUUUCCGCGCCGUAGCUAACGCAUUAAGUGCCCCGCCUGGGGAGUACGGCCGCAAGGCUAAAACUCAAAGGAAUUGACGGGGGCCCGCACAAGCGGCGGAGCAUGCUGAUUAAUUCGAUGCAACGCGAAGAACCUUACCAAGGCUUGACAUGCACUGGACGGCUGCAGAGAUGUGGCUUUCUUUGGACUGGUGCACAGGUGGUGCAUGGUUGUCGUC